rnacentral:piRNA from 1 species
UAGAGGUUGGCAUAGUUUCUACCUGAAA